GACGAACCGUGCGAACGUUGUUCGGAAUAACUGGGCUUAAAGGGUGCGUAGGCGGGUCCGCCAGCCUGUGGUGAAAUCCUCCCGCCCAACGGGAGAACUGCCGUGGAUACUGCGGACCUCGAGGAAGAUAAGGGCGUGCGGAACAGUUGGUGGAGCGGUGAAAUGCGUUGAUAUCAACUGGAACUCCGGUGGCGAAGGCGGCACGCUGGGUCUUUUCUGACGCUGAGGCACGAAAGCUAGGGGAGCAAACGGG
rnacentral:rRNA from 1 species